UAAUUGAUGGCCGACGAAACCUAAUUUCGUUCUUCACUUUUCGACUUCCAUCUCUUACCUCUUCCAUUUCUCUUCUUUCCAAAUCCGUUUCGAGGAGUAAUUUCACCGUUGACGUUCCCACUUUUUUCUCUGCCUUCUUCGUCGGUUGGUUCUCAUUCUAUAUAAGCAGAUGAUUAGCGGGGGAUUGAGUAAGGAGGAUUAGGAUGCUCUGGUCGCCGGAAGUUGCAGGGAUAUCCGUAAAAUCCAUUAGAUUCGUCUUUCGGCCACCAUAGAAGAAAGGUUAUUGGUGCUGUGAUUCUACGAAGAUCUGAGAGAAUGAGAAUCAAGAUUGUUCCAAAGACCAACCAUAGGAAUCAGGGGAUUCAAAAAAUUUCCCGCACGAAGUCUUUCUCUAACAAGAGCUUAAAAGAUAUAUGCACAUGUAGCUCGGUUCUGUUCCUGAGUAACCCAAAUAUCGUAGAAUGUGUUUACACUACGGGAACUGAGAUAGCGAACAGGGCUAAAGUAAAUUGUAUCCAGAACAAUUGGGCAGUAAACGUUCAGGUGGAUGAUGAUCAAUGAUCAAACAUAUCAGAGAGUACAAAAGGGAUUAGGUACCAGGCCAUUUCUACUGCUCAGCGAGAAGAAAUUUUUUGCCCUUCACCAGGUUACUUAGAACCAAAAUGGUUUCUGGAAUUGAAGGGGUUUUCUUCUCACCUUUUUCUUUAGGAAACAUUUAUCGUACUACUGUGAUUAUAGAUUAUAAACUUUUUGAAUGUCAGAGCUUCGCCUAAGUUUAUGCUUCUUUCAAUAGUGUUCUUUAAACAGCUUAUGAGCCAACAUCUGUAUAUGUGUGUAUGUGCUUGUGAUCAGCAUGUUGCUAUGAUUGUACACUU